rnacentral:lncRNA from 10 species
GCAGGAGAAUCGCUUCAACCAGAGACGGAGGUUUCAGUGAGCCAAGAUUGUGCCAUUGCACUCCAGCUUGGGCGACACAAACACACAAAAUUAAGAUUAAAAAAUAUUGGAAACGACAUAUCCCCAAAUGAUAGCCAAGCACUUCGUUUGCAGAUGCGGUCUUUGGCGCUUCCUACAGAUGUGCCAGCUUGAUUCCUACCAAGCCCUACCAAGCAGGAGUUAAUACUCUCCCCAUUUCACAAAGGGGGAAAUUGAGGCACAGAGGGCAGCACGUGGGAUGCAGGAACCCAGAACCCCUAGUCCUUUCUUGGGCUCGACGGGAUGGACCAGCCCCUGGAGGGGGUCCAACCCCUCCCAACGGCCUGGGAAGCCACGGCCAGGCUGGGCGGAACCGUGGGUGUCCCUGGCGCCCCAAGGUGCCAAUUAAAUAUUCGUGGCCGUCUGGGGCCAGAGCUGUG